GACUGUACAAAGGUAGCAUAAUAAUUUGUCUUUUAAUUGAAGACUGGUAUGAAUGGUUGGAUGAGAAAUAUACUUUCUUUAUUUUAUAUAAAAAAAUUGAUUUUUUAGUUAAAAAGCUAAAAUAUUUUUAUAGGACGAGAAGACCCUAUAGAACUUUACUUUGAUAUAAAUAUGCUAUUUAUAUAUUUUUAAAAUUUUAUAUUUUUAUUAAAGUUUUGUUGGGGUGACAAAAAAAAUUAUAUAACUUUUUUUUAUUAAAUCAUUAAUUUAUGUUUUUUGAUCCUUUAUUAUGGAAAAUAAGAUUAAGUUACCUUAGGGAUAACAGCGUUAUUUUUUUGGAGAGUUCAUAUUGAUAAAGAAGUUUGCGACCUCGAUGUUGGAUUAAAAUAAGUUACAGGGGUAUAAUAUUGUAUACUAGGUCUGUUCGACCUUUAAAUUUUUACA
rnacentral:rRNA from 1 species